GAAUAUAUUUUUGUCUUAUUUAAAUAAAGCAAACAAAUUUUGUUAGCAAUCCUUAAUUUUUAAUACAUCAUUAUCAAAGACCAACACACAUAUUUAAAGAAUGAAGUUGAAGCAAGUAUAGAAUUUAAAUGUCACAUUUUAUAAAAAAAUAAUGUUACAUCUAUGUAUAAAAUAUUACUUUUUUAAUGUCAAAAAAUAUAUUUUACAUAAUGAUUACUUGAAUAAGAAUAAAAACAUAACAUAGAUACUAACAAGUUAGUCUUAAAUAAAUAACAUUUAG
rnacentral:lncRNA from 1 species